rnacentral:rRNA from 1 species
CCUACGGGUGGCAGCAGUGGGGAAUAUUGCACAAUGGGGGAAACCCUGAUGCAGCGACGCCGCGUGAGUGAAGAAGUAUUUCGGUACGUAAAGCUCUAUUCGCAGGGCAGAAAAUGACGGUACCUGAAUAAGAAGCCCCGUCUAACUACGUGACAGCAGCCGAGGUACUACGUAGGGGGCACGCGUUAUCCGGAUUUACUGGGUGUAAAGUGAGCGUAGACGGCAGCGCAAGUAAGAAGUGAAAUCCCAGGGCUUAACCAUGGAACUGCGUUGGAAACUGGGUAGCUGGAGUGCAUGAGAGGUAAGCGGAAUUACUGGUGGAGCGGUGAAAUGCGGAGAUAUUAGGAGGAACACCAGUGGCGAAGGCGGCUUACUGGACUGUAACUGACGCUGAGGCUCGAAAGCGUGGGGAGCAAACAGGAUUAGAUACCCUUGUAGUC